UUUCAUUACACAAUAAUCAUGUUAUCAUUAUUUAUCUUAAGGAUUCUCUCACUCGUGAAUUAAAGUCAGCUCCUCCUAAUAGUCUCACAAUGCAUCUAGCCAAAGCUUUCUGUAACAUUCAUAAUGAUUAUGGUCUUAAAGCAAUGGCUCAUAUUUGGUAUAUGAAGUGAUACAGGAACUGCACUACAGGUGGGAGAAUGGUAUAGCGUUACCAAGUUUAGGGAAGAGUCAUCCUGACAUGUCUUGUUGUCUCUUACAUCAGAAACUACAGGUGCAGUGGCUAGUAUCACUCCACAUGAUAUGAAUGCAUCACGUGAUAUCUUAAAUGACUCUGUACUUGACAUCAUGUUUUACGUUAGCACUUGGUUUGGACCUGAAAUUCUUAAUGGUCCGCAUUGGCAGCUGCACAAGAAAUACGUACAACGAAUUUACAAGACGUAAUUUUGAUUUUAUUUCAAAUAAUGGAACAGUGUCAAUGUUUGCUCAUUUGCUUGGUAACUUGGUAACAUAAUGUGCUAUGACCUGAUGUAUGAGACCUGUAGUAUCAAUGGACUACUGGAGAAAAAGGAAAGAGAUUGUAAACCAAUGGACAUUGAUUUAUUAACAGAUCAUUAAAAAUGAGUCUGAUAAAAAGUUGAAGAGCUGCAGAAGUUAAGAAUAAGAGUUCCGAACUUGAAUUAGAGCUAGUGAUAAAGAAAGGGUUCAAUUCUCUUAAAGAUUAAACUGGAUCACUUAUUUGCUGUUGAGUCUCCAUUGGGUAUACUCUUAAUGCUAAGGGAACACAGUCCACUAGUGAAGGAAAGCAAAGGAGCUGAUUCACUGCUGCCUUUUGCUAAGAAAUUCUUAAUGUACAUCAUCCUUAAGAUCCUGUGGCCUAUCGUUUGGAGUCCAGUAUAUGCUCAAGUGAAGCGGGUAAAGAUGGACGCUGCUAGUAGCAAACCAACACAAAAGUCAAUGAGUCUAAGCUGAAGGACCCAAGACACCAGAAGUGACACAGAAUACUAAGAGUAGCAGCAACAGCUGGACGCAAUCACUGAUAUCAGCUGUAGUAGCUUCUAGUAAUAGUGCCAAAACUUUUAAAUCAUUUGAAUAAUUUUAUUGUAGUGGAUAAUAGGAUAUUAUUUUUCUACAGA